rnacentral:tRNA from 3 species
GAGAUAAUAGUAUAAUUUAGUAUUUUUCUUUUUCGAAGAAAAGGUUAAUUUAUCUUA